GAUGAACGCUAGCGGCAGGCCUAACACAUGCAAGUCGAGGGGCAGCACAGAAACAGCAAUGUUUUGGUGGCGACCGGCGGACGGGUGCGUAACGCGUAUGCAACCUACCUUUAACAGGGGGAUAACGGAGAGAAACUUCCACUAAUACCCCAUAACAUCGAUCAAGGCAUCUUGAUUGGUUGAAAACUCCGGUGGUUAAAGAUGGGCAUGCGUUGUAUUAGGUAGUUGGUGAGGUAAUGGCUCACCAAGCCUACGAUACAUAGGGGGACUGAGAGGUUAGCCCCCCACACUGGUACUGAGACACGGACCAGACUCCUACGGGAGGCAGCAGUGAGGAAUAUUGGUCAAUGGGGGCAACCCUGAACCAGCCAUGCCGCGUGCAGGAAGACGGCUCUAUGAGUUGUACACUGCUUUUAAACAGGGAUAAAGCACAGUAUGUAUACUGUGUUGAAGGUGCUGUAAGAAUAAGGAUCGGCUAACUCCGUGCCAGCCGCCGCCGUAA
rnacentral:rRNA from 1 species